CAGUUUCAUCAUUUUAAAAAAAACAGAGAGAGAGAGCUCUCUCCUUCUCUCUCAGGCCCCAAGUCCGGCCAUGGGCUCCGGCAAUCUUCCGCCGUCGACGCCGUCGCGCCGACCACCGCACACGGUGGCCGGAAAAAUCAAAAGGCAAGUGGCGAUGGGAUAUGCGGCGACAGAAGCGACGGUGGCAGGGCAAGUGGGCGACAUGACCGUGGCAGUGGCGGCUGGUCAGCUGAUGCGGCGCUAAGAUUUCUUUUCUGAAACCCUAGUUUGACUUUGGGGGGAUUGGGCCAGUUGGGUAGUUGGGCUAGGUUUGGGCUUCGGGUUAGGCUAGUUGGGUAUUGGGUUGCUGAUUUGGGCUUUGGUUUGUAAUUGGGUAGUUGGGGUUUAAUUGUUUUUGUUUAGUUUAGGGUUAAUUGGGUUUUAGGCUAAAAAUUGGGCUUGUACAUCGACAAUACAUCAAAUAUUUACCCAUUGUAUAAACGUUAUUUAUCUAUAAAUGUCAUUACAAAUCAUAGAAAUAUUAUAAUUA